rnacentral:rRNA from 1 species
AGUGAACGCUGGCGGUGGGCCUAACACAUGCAAGUCGAACGGCAGCACAGUAAGAGCUUGCUCUUACGGGUGGCGAGUGGCGGACGGGUGAGGAAUACAUCGGAAUCUACUUUUUCGUGGGGGAUAACGUAGGGAAACUUACGCUAAUACCGCAUACGACCUACGGGUGAAAGCAGGGGAUCUUCGGACCUUGCGCGAUUGAAUGAGCCGAUGUCGGAUUAGCUAGUUGGCGGGGUAAAGGCCCACCAAGGCGACGAUCCGUAGCUGGUCUGAGAGGAUGAUCAGCCACACUGGAACUGAGACACGGUCCAGACUCCUACGCGAGGCAGCAGUGGAGAAUAUUGGACAAUGGGCGCAAGCCUGAUCCAGCCAUACCGCGUGGGUGAAGAAGGCCUUCGGGUUGUAAAGCCCUUUUGUUGGGAAAGAAAAGCAGCAGGUUAAUACCCCGCUGUUCUGACGGUACCCAAAGAAUAAGCACCGGCUAACUUCGUG